GAGAGAGGUCCAGGUGGCAGACUCAGGGGACAGAUGGCAGCUGCCAGUAUUUCCUUGUGCCCUGAAUGAAUUUGUCCUAAGAAAGUGUCUGCUGUCAUUGACACAGAUUUUGGAAAGAAUAACGCAUCGCUCCAAAGCCAGCCCUGCAGCAGUGGAUACCAAGUGCCAGAUGAGCCAGCAGAUCAAAGGCAAGUUUUUGUCAGCACCCCAGCAGGGACCACCUGGGAGCCCACAGCUCCUUCCUGAACCUCUGUAGGCCGGGAGAGCAGCAGAUGUUGCUCUGCUGUGUCCUCUCGAACAACAUUUGAAGCGCUGUAAAGAAGAGUAAAUGGUUUCGUUCAAUUUUUAAGUACCUAUGGCCUAGCCCCACAAAGUGGUGGUGGAGACCGGACUGCCGCUGCCCCCGCUGACCUGACGUUCUGCGUGAGCGCCCACGCAUGCACAAGGAACCUUUGUCCUGACCGCGGGACACAUUCACACACACUCCCUGAAGCAGAUGAGUCAGGGGAGGUCAGACGCAAAUGACUAAGGCCAACUGGUCUCAAGACCACUUGCCUAGGAGGCAAAGACACGAUGGGAAGUUUGGGUCACAGAACUGUAGAGUAAGAAAUGGGGGAGCAGCAAGGUCACACAGCUU